rnacentral:rRNA from 1 species
UACAGAGGGUGCGAGCGUUGUCCGGAAUUACUGGGCGUAAAGAGCUCGUAGGCGGUGUGUCGCGUCGGCCGUGAAAACCUGCAGCUUAACUGUGGGCUUGCGGUCGAUACGGGCAUCACUGGAGUUCGGCAGGGGAGACUGGAAUUCCUGGUGUAGCGGUGAAAUGCGCAGAUAUCAGGAGGGAACACCGGGUGGCGAAGGCGGGUCUCUGGGCCGAUACUGACGCUGGAGGAGCGAAA